CAGGUACGCAUCUUUGGACCUGAAUAUGCCUACCCAUAGGGUGUCUACAAUCCUCACAUGGGUCAGCAUUACCUUCAAAUAUAUGGCAUACCAGGCACAGUUAACACAAAUAUUGUCCCAUAUGGACAAAUGGGUCAUCCUCUCUCUGGUAACCAGGGGUAUCCAACCAUUCAGGGCUAUGUGACACCAGGUCGUCAUGUUCUGCGAUAUGGGGGACCCCUCGUCAGUGGAGUAACUACAGACACUAUUGCCACAACUCAAGCACAAUACCUUGAAGAUAACUCUCUCUCUCUCUCUCUCUCUCUCUCUUUCUCUCUCUCUGCUUUGAGUUGGGAAAUGAGUGUGAAAAUGAUGCAUUCCAGAUUUGGCAUAUAGCCAAAAAAAUUAUCAAUCUGGAGUUGCUACUGCAAUUUUGUUAACAAUACAUAUCUUUCUGCUGAAAAAUCUGCAGUUUUGUCAUUGAUAUGCAAAUUGAAAAAUAAUGAUGUUAAGUAAAAGGAUAAAAAUGAUUUAUACCAUUGUAAAACUUAAAUUAGUAGAUAUCGAACAUAUAUGUUGUUUACAUAUAUGCUUUUCUGAUUUUGAAUGAUCUGUCAUGCUUUAAGGCUUUUGCCUUUUCAAAAUUGGUGAGGAGAGUGCAUCACAUAUUUAUUUAGUUCAUUUUUACUCACAACAAAGUUUUUAUAUCAUUAUAAAUACAUGACUCCCUAGUUAUUUUCAACUGUAUCCACUGAAGAUUUAGAGAAAUGAGGUAAAAAUUGAAAUCUAUUAGUUACAUGUUUGAAUUAAGUAUUGUUUCUUGCAUUGUUUCAUUUAUCAUCUGGGAUUUUUUGAUUUGCAGGUCUUGAUAGAUACAGAUCACUGCUAUUGUGUAAUUCUAAAUGCAGAUGGUGGGGCAGCAUUUCCUAGUGAAAAGACUGCACAAGAUUGCAGUUCUAGUGAUAUUUCUUCUUUGAAAAUCAACACUGGUUCUGGAAAGAUAGAGAAGACAAAGCUGGGAAGUCUGGAUUUGGGAGCCUCCUGUCACUUGGACAUUCCCUUGGGAAAACUGACAGGAUUCACAUGAAAGGCCUUGGAGGACGUGGGGAGGUGGAAGUUGUUGUUUCUUGUGUUGUAGGUAAAUAAGAAAAUCUUUUUUUUUCCCCUCUCAUUCUGCAAGUCCUCUAAUAUUUUGUAGUUUUUUUAACCUUAAUUUUAUUGGUGAUAAUGUUUUUGUUGGUGAAGAAUAUGAAUUGAAUUGAUUCGUAUUUCAUAAUGAGUAGUGGAACUUUACGA